CCACGCCGUAAACGAUGAGUGUUAGGUGUCUGCAAAAGUGGGUGCCGCAGCUAACGCAUUAAACACUCCGCCUGGGGAGUACGCACGCAAGUGUGAAACUCAAAGGAAUUGACGGGGACCCGCACAAGCAGCGGAGCAUGUGGUUUAAUUCGAAGCAACGCGAAGAACCUUACCAAGUCUUGACAUAUUUCGGCGUUUACUAGAGAUAGUAAGCUAUGACUUCGGUCAACUGAAAUACAGGUGGUGCAUGGUUGU
rnacentral:rRNA from 1 species